rnacentral:tRNA from 1 species
GGCCUGUUGGUCAAGCGGUUAAGACUCCGGCCUCUCACGCCGGCGACGGGGGUUCGAUUCCCCCACGAGUCACCA